AUUGAAAUUUCUUCAAACAUUCUUGAAAUUAUCAUCAGUUUCACAAGUUUUAAGAUCGUUCGAUUCGUAACACUUGUUUAGUUACAUGAAAUCAAUAAAACAGGUCUCAUUUCUUACCAAAAUACUCUCAUUGGAUGACUCAAAUCAUCCGGAACUCGUGCCUCUUUAUCGACGAUCGACAAACAGACGCGUAUGUAUGUAUAAUACUUAUUGCUCGACUUGCUGCCACACUUGAUCACGAAAGUACUAAAUACAACAAAGUUCAAGCUUUUGGUGUCCCCCGUGUCCCCAGGCCCCUCCAGCCAUCAGAGCUUGACUCGGUCACCAGAGCAGUGUACACCGUCGUCAUUAUUGUCGACGCUGAUGAAUGAUAAUAUGAUAUAAGUGAAUACAAGUAUAUUAUUAUCCAGUGAAAAUACAGUUGCCGCUGACAGUGACUAGUUGUCCAAGCUACUGUACAUUUCUCUCGUCUCUGCCUGUGCGUGUGAUUAAUCGUCUCUUCGUUUUUAAGGUUAGUGAAGUUUGUGUCGUAUUUUCAUAUGUAUUGCGUAUUGGCGUUUGGCAUCAUCAUUCUCGCGUGUUAGCGGUA